CUUGCUUUCCUGCCGGCGAGUGGCGAACGGGUGAGUAAUACAUCGGAACGUGCCCUGUAGUGGGGGAUAACUAGUCGAAAGAUUAGCUAAUACCGCAUACGACCUGAGGGUGAAAGUGGGGGACCGCAAGGCCUCAUGCUAUAGGAGCGGCCGAUGUCUGAUUAGCUAGUUGGUGGGGUAAAGGCCUACCAAGGCGACGAUCAGUAGCUGGUCUGAGAGGACGAUCAGCCACACUGGGACUGAGACACGGCCCAGACUCCUACGGGAGGCAGCAGUGGGGAAUUUUGGACAAUGGGCGAAAGCCUGAUCCAGCAAUGCCGCGUGUGUGAAGAAGGCCUUCGGGUUGUAAAGCACUUUUGUCCGGAAAGAAAUGGCUCUGGUUAAUACCCGGAGUCGAUGACGGUACCGGAAGAAUAAGGACCGGCUAACUACGUGCCAGCAGCCGCGGUAAUACGUAGGGUCCAAGCGUUAAUCGGAAUUACUGGGCGUAAAGCGUGCGCAGGCGGUUGUGCAAGACCGAUGUGAAAUCCCCGGGCUUAACCUGGGAAUUGCAUUGGUGACUGCACGGCUAGAGUGUGUCAGAGGGAGGUAGAAUUCCACGUGUAGCAGUGAAAUGCGUAGAGAUGUGGAGGAAUACCGAUGGCGAAGGCAGCCUCCUGGGAUAACACUGACGCUCAUGCACGAAAGCGUGGGGAGCAAACAGGAUUAGAUACCCUGGUAGUCCACGCCCUAAACGAUGUCAACUAGUUGUUGGGGAUUCAUUUCCUUAGUAACGUAGCUAACGCGUGAAGUUGACCGCCUGGGGAGUACGGUC
rnacentral:rRNA from 1 species